UUGAACGCUGGCGGCAGGCCUAACACAUGCAAGUCGAACGGUAACAGGAAGAAGCUUGCUUCUUUGCUGACGAGUGGCGGACGGGUGAGUAAUGUCUGGGAAACUGCCUGAUGGAGGGGGAUAACUACUGGAAACGGUAGCUAAUACCGCAUAAUGUCGCAAGACCAAAGAGGGGGACCUUCGGGCCUCUUGCCAUCGGAUGUGCCCAGAUGGGAUUAGCUAGUAGGUGGGGUAACGGCUCACCUAGGCGACGAUCCCUAGCUGGUCUGAGAGGAUGACCAGCCACACUGGAACUGAGACACGGUCCAGACUCCUACGGGAGGCAGCAGUGGGGAAUAUUGCACAAAGGGCGCAAGCCUGAUGCAGCUAUGCCGCGUGUAUGAAGAAGGCCUUCGGGUUGUAAAGUACUUUCAGCGGGGAGGAAGGGAGUAAAGUUAAUACCUUUGCUCAUUGACGUUACCCGCAGAAGAAGCACCGGCUAACUCCGUG
rnacentral:rRNA from 1 species